UCGACCCAAUCCGACUCUCCCAAUUAUCCUGGGUUUAAAACCCUAAAACUUAAAAAACGUUUGCCCUUUCAGGAAGAAAGAAAAACUCGUUCCUCUUCUUCUCUCUCGAUCGCCCUUUUCUGAACUGAAUCGCUCACCGUUUUGAAACUUGCUCUACAUUGAUGAACACACUAAGAAAAACAAAACCUCUCCAUUUUCUUAUCACUCUCGAUCUCUCUGUGAACGAAACAACAAUAACAACAAAAAAAACACUCGAUCUCACCUCUCUCUCGAUCUCUCUGUGAAUGAAACAACAAUAACAACAAAAAGAACACUCGAUCUCACCUCUCUCUCGAUUCGUUCCAUCUCUCAAUCGCUUCUAGUUUCAAACGAUUCAAUAAUUUAACACGAAAUAAACCUAAACCUCAUUCAAAUCCUUUCCCCAAAUUGUUUCAAUGUUUCAGCAUGAAGUUAUGAAUUACAAGUUACAAGAGCACAAGGAAAUUGAAAAAUAAAAACAAGAACAAAAAUCAGGUUUUAUGUACCCAUUUUAGUGAAAUGUUUGGACCUUUUGAGACAGCAUUAUGCAGGUCUGAUGGUGCAGCAAGGGCGCAGGUUUUGGACAGCAAGAGGUUGGUGGUGCAGGGUGGAGCAGAGUGCAGGCUUUGGACAACAAGAGGUUGGUGGUGCAGGAAACAUGAAGACCAAAUUUGUUAUUUUUUUUGUUUAGUGUAAAAAAAAUGUAAUUGGACUUUAUAAAAAGAACAAAUUGGGCCCAAAA